rnacentral:rRNA from 1 species
GACGAACGCUGGCGGCGUGCCUAACACAUGCAAGUCGAGCGGAGUUAAUUGAAAGCUUGCUUUUGAUUAACUUAGCGGCGGACGGGUGAGUAACGCGUGGGCAACCUGCCUGUUACAGGGGGAGAACGCAGGGAAACUUGUGCUAAUACCGCAUCAUACAACGAGAAAGCAUUUUCUUGUUGUCAAUGGAGCAAUCCGGUGACAGAUGGGCCCGCGUCCAAUUAGCUAGUUGGUGGUGUAACGGACCACCAAGGCGACGAUUGGUAGCCGAACUGAGAGGUUGAUCGGCCACAUUGGGACUGAGACACGGCCCAGACUCCUACGGGAGGCAGCAGUGGGGAAUAUUGCACAAUGGGGGAAACCCUGAUGCAGCAACGCCGCGUGAAGGAUGAAGGUUUUCGGAUUGUAAACUUCUUUAGUCAGGGACGAAUAAAUGACGGUACCUGAAGAAUAAGCCACGGCUAACUACGUGCCAGCAGCCGCCGUAA